CUCGAAUUAGAGAGAGAUUUCGAACAUCAACGAAGCCCCCUGCUGGUUCUCGCGCACACUGGUUCGAUCACCCUAAGCAAAGGAGCAGAGGAGCAGAGGAACUCUGGUCUUGUUGUUUUCCCCUGCAAUCAUUCUCCCUUUACAAGAGAAAUGGAUGCACAACAACGGAUGUGUAGCUGUGGAGAGGUGAUGGUCAUCCGAACUUCUCAAACGGCGCGGAAUCCUGGACGAAGAUUUUACAGAUGUCCGGUAGGCGGAAAACAUCCGGGAUGUUUUAUUUGGUUGGACCCAGUAUCGAGGAAUUAUACUGAGACUGUAGACACAGGAACAUGUUAUUCAACAGAAAGUGUUAAUAGGAACACACGGGUCAUCUCAGCUAUUCGUCAACCCUCCUAUAGUCCACAAG